rnacentral:tRNA from 1 species
GUGGUUGUGUCUCAGUGGUAGAGUGCUUUCCUCACAUGUGUGAGGCACUGGGGUCAAUCCUCAGCACCAUA